UAAUAAGCGGUUCGGACCCGGGGGCGGUACCCGGCGACUCCACCAAACAUCCGUCAUUUGCGGAUCAUGGGGUCGAAAUAGGAUCGACGAACGUCUAAAGAUGUUGCUUUAUCUCGGCUGACUGCCACCGUUAUCGGCGUAAAAUGUACAAUUGCAAAUGACAAUCGUGCUCCAAUGGCGAUGGCCGCGUAAGCGACCGGAACUAUUGAAACUUAAGUCCUUACGUUUAGCGACCUAAGGCGGGGUUCGCAGGUACCUGGCAACAGAAACCUG
rnacentral:sRNA from 1 species